GACGAACGCUGGCGGCGUGCUUAACACAUGCAAGUCGAACGGAAAGGCCCUGCUUUUGUGGGGUGCUCGAGUGGCGAACGGGUGAGUAACACGUGAGUAACCUGCCCUUGACUUUGGGAUAACUUCAGGAAACUGGGGCUAAUACCGGAUAUGAGCUCCUGCUGCAUGGUGGGGGUUGGAAAGUUUCGGCGGUUGGGGAUGGACUCGCGGGUUAUCAGCUUGUUGGUGGGGUAGUGGCUUACCAAGGCUUUGACGGGUAGCCGGCCUGAGAGGGUUACCGGCCACAAUGGGCCUGCGAUAGGGCCCAGUAUGCUACGGGACGCAGCAGGGGGGAGUAUUACACAACGGGGGGAAGCGUGAGGAGAAAACGCCGCGUUCGGGAUGACGGCCUUCGGGUGGUAAACCGCUUUCGCCUGAGACGAAGCGUGAGUGACGGUAACGGAUAAAGAAGCACCGGCUAACUACGUG
rnacentral:rRNA from 1 species